UACAGAGGGUGCAAGCGUUGUUCGGAAUUACUGGGCGUAAAGGGCUCGUAGGCGGCCAACUAAGUCAGACGUGAAAUCCCUCAGCUUAACUGGGGAACUGCGUCUGAUACUGGAUGGCUUGGAUUUGGGAGAGGGAUGCGGAAUUCCAGGUGUAGCGGUGAAAUGCGUAGAUAUCUGGAGGAACACCGGUGGCGAAGGCGGCAUCCUGGACCAAUAUUGACGCUGAGGAGCGAAAGCCAGGGGAGCAAACGGG
rnacentral:rRNA from 1 species